GCUGUGAUGACCAUUUUGUGAUCUUGACAAAAAAACGGCCAGAAGAAUUAAAGAAUCACCAACUCAGAGGGCUGAACUGCUGAACAAAUUCUGAAACUGCCGACCACCAACUCCUUAUUAAGAAAGGAAGACCUGGGAACCUCAUGGGCUCAGAUGUGAACACUGAAGAGGUCUGAGGGAAGCCAGGUGUCACGUUAAGAAACAGCCGUAUGACAAGGCUAAUGGGGUGAGAGACAGAGACCCAACAACGACCACAUGAGUGAGCUUGGAAGUGGAUCUCCCCUCCUUCCGAUGAGCCCACAGCCUCUACUGACAGCCUGACUGCAACCUCAUGAGAGAUUGUGAGCCUGAAGCUCCCAACUAAGCCACACCCAGAUUCCUGACCCACAGAAACUGUGAGAUAAUACAUGUUUGUUGUUUUAAGCUACUAAAUUUUGGGGUAAUUUGUUAAGCAACACUAUGUGACUAACACACAGUGGAUGCUGAGGCUGCUGAUCCGAAGACAAUUGUUUGAAAACGUUGGCUGUAAUGGAACAGCUUCUUCUUCAGUCUUCUGACUUGUUUGGGCAGGGA